ACUAAAUAAGUUUCAUGAUAGAAAUUGAAAUCGGAGACUAUUUUUCUUAUCAGAAGUAAUAAAGCACAAAGCCUGUUGUAAAUAUUGGAUGGCAGCCCGGAUAUAAAAAAAAUGUGUAACAUUUUGUUCAUGCAUCAGAUAAAAACAGCAUUGACCAAAAGAUACAUUUUAGAUUUAAGAAUCAGUUAAAUUUUCAGUUCAUCAAAAGGAAGAUCUAUUAAGACUGGGAAAUCAAUAGUGUCAACCUACCAGAAGCCUUUUUAGAAAACACAAGGCAUAAGGCUCAUGAAGUAUGACAGGUAAUCUACAGGGCUGGAUUUCACAACUCAAUUACUCAUAGAGAGUACAAUAAUCUAAGCAAGCAUAAUGUAUGACUUAAAUAUGACUUCAUAUCAUCAUGAUGAAAAUGUAUGUCGUUAAAAAAACAAAUGAUGUAAUUUGAUGUACAACAUACACAUUAUAAUUUUUCAAUUUUAUUUUGAAAAUUUAAAGGGUCACACAGACUUCAAGAAGGCUGGGGAGAUUCAGUUUGAAGAGGCAGCAAAGAGUGAACCUUUGGUCCUUCUACUGAAAUGUAAGCAACAUUAAUAAGUUAAACUGGAUGAUGAUGAUGCCAGUGCAGACUUAGGAUGAGGAAUAAGAUGAAGAGGAGGAAAUAAGACUAGUUUCUAAGACAUCCAGAGUGCACUAGAAGAACUCUUUCCAGAGGAACACAGGGAGCUAUGAAGUCUAAUUUUUUCAGCAAAACACUGCACCAACCCUCAAUAUAAAGAUCAAGAGUGAAGUGUCAGUCUACAGAGGUUUCAGAAGACCCUGCCCUCUCGUGGUGGGGUAAAAGAAAACUAUUUUUCUCUUUCUUGUACAAAAACUGCUGAUUAACAUUUUGGGUGUGAUAAAUAAUAAAGAAGAGACAGAAAUAUCUAUAUUGCUCUAUUUACAUAUCUUUAAAAUUUAGCUUCUGGUAGUGAAGCAGAAUUAAAGCAUAUCAACACCAGAUAUUUGCUCAUCCCUCACACAACGCAUUUUCUUUUCUGCAAAAUAUAAAUGCUAUACCUAUGUAUAA